UCUCUCUCUCUCUCUCUCUCUCUGUGUGUGUGUGUGUACACACACACACACACAUGCACCCACACAGACCAGACACCUCGGAAGACAGACGUAUGGUGCGACCGUCCCGGUGCUAGGAUCAGCUGUUCAUCACUACCUGGGUUUGUAGUGUUUACAGGCGUGGGGAGUGUGUAUUGUAUUGGGCUUGUCUCCUGUAUUGACCAGUUUGUAACGGUUUUGAAGUCGGAGUUAAAAGUUUCCGACUCCGACUCCGAGAAAUUUUAAAGUUGCGACUCCGACUCUGGCCCCCUCUUCCCUCCCCCUCAACUUCCUUUUUUUUUAUGGUGCUGCCUGUAGCACCAGUAGACUCCCUUGAGGUCCUCUUGGACGGUCCCAGCCAGAGAAUAGUUUUUGAACCGACCGCACCCGGUCACUGCAUUAGCUAGCCAUCUUGCUCUCCUCUCUUUAUAUGAUCCCCCAUCCCCCAGUUACAUUAGUUCAAACAAUGGUUGCCAAUUUUGUUAAGUCUGUACUUUCUGUCUCAACUACAUUUGGAACAGUCACCUCUUGAUUAACACAAGUUUAAAUAAUGCGUUUUUGAUUUAACACGAGUUGAUAUUUAACCCUUUCAAUACGAUGACGCCUACGUAGGCGUCAUGAAGCCCCAGUAGCAUAUACGAUGACGCCUACGUAGGUGUCAUAUUUCUAUUCUGUUUCUUUUUCUAUUGAGUUGUCCCGUACUUUGUGUUGGUUACUAAGUAAAGACGCCGUAUGCUGUCCUUGAAAUCCUAUUGCUCCUCCCACCAUCCUUGUUCCCACCAAUCACAAAAAAUGAGCUAUAGUAUGCACCGCCUUCUUCCCGCCUUGUGUCUAAAAUUAGGAAGUCUCAUUGGCUCUCUCUCUCUCUCUCUCUCUCUCUCUCUCUCUCUCUCUCUCUCUCUCUCAAACACCAAGGCGCUGACACCAUCACGUCUCGCCAACGUUGCCAGAUUGCCGUAUUCAACCUCCUAUUUUUGCUGAUUUCCGACCCAAAAACUGCCUCCUCGACCCCAAUAACUGCCUAUAUAAAUAGAUAUCGGCAAAAUAAUUAAUUAUUGGUGUCUUUUGGCAAUUGCUAUGGCCCAGAAAUAAGUAAAUACGAGGCUCUGAGUACGAUAAUCUGGCAACGGUGCGUCUCGCCCACCUCUCUCUCUCUCUCUCUCUCUCUCUCUCUCUCUCUCUCUCUCUCUCUCUCUCUCAGACACCAAGGUGCCAACACCACCACUCCUUGCCUAUCUCUCUCUCUUUCUCUCUCACACACACACACACACACACACACACACACACACGUACACACAUACAUUGUCUGUGAUGACAAAGGAGUAUCUGGCAGCUCUCUGACUGAUGAUAACAGAGUUGUAUUUGCUGAUAAUUUCUCGACAUUCUUCCUCCUCUACACAAUCAUCUGCUAUCUCUAUUUCUUUCCCCCUUGCCCCAUUCUCCCCUUUCUUUAUUUCGCUUUUUUUUUAUUUCGCGUUGACGCAAUUUAUAUUAUGCAUAGCAGGUAUAUGUUGACUCGUCGUGUAUGCUGCUUUGCAAAUACGGGAUACAUGUAAUGAGGGCUUUCAGCAGCAUAAUAUACGGAGGCGACAAGCAGAUACAUGCCGGCUCAGGUUUCCCGCGCGCGGCCGUGCACGCCGUAUAUCAGCCAGGCGGGCUCUUUGAACAUCCGGCGCGAAGGGGUUAAGGAGAUACAUUUAACCCCUAGAGUAUGGGUGGCGAUAUAUUUCUUUGGAUGCUGUGCACGGGGAAAAUUUAGACAUUUAAAAGAGGUGGAAAUGGUGUUUUUCUUCUUUGCAGCAAUUGUAUAUUCACCUAGUAUAUAUGGUGGUGUAAUAAAACUUUUCUCCUAAUAAUAAUAAAAAAGUUAUGACAGACGAAAAUAUUUCACAUUUUCUCGUGGCCGUGACGCGUCGUGUGGAAGCACCCCACUCUCUCUCUCUCUCUCUCUCUCUCUCUCUCUCUCUCUCUCUGGGCCGGAUUGUCAAAUCUUACCUUCGGGCGACAGGACCCUACGCCCAGAAAUCUCUACCGUUAAACUGUUUUGGGUCGUGAGGAGUCCCGCCGCGCCAAAGGGGAAGGGACGAGACGAAGGGACAACAAACACCGCCUCUUCCCCCUACCCUUCGCUGCCGCUGCUGUUAUAUUACCCCAAUAUUUGACCAGGUUACUGAGAGCAUGGCCGCUUAUGAGCAGCUUUGGGAUGAUCUGGACCUCUUGGAUCAAUUGGAGGAGCUAGAUGGUGAGAUAGAUGCCGAAGGAGUUGUCGGACGUAGACGUCGCAGAAUUGUUACAGAUCGGAUGAAUCCCUUCGCAGCAAUGAGUGAUGAUGAAUUCAUGGACCGCUUCAGGGUCAGGAAAACGUCAAUGUAUGACCUAAUUGAAGAAAUUAGAGAUCACCUUCCUGCCCCAAAUGACUCAAGAGGCUGUCCUGUUCCGCCACAUCUCCAAACCCUGAUCGCGAUACGCUGCAUGGCAACCGGAGACCACCAAAUGACUUUAGGUGACUGCCAUGAUUAUCACAAACAACAGUCAGCCAGUGCCUGAAGGUGGUGUCAAGAGCAAUUGCUAGCUUGAGCAGGCAUUAUAUACAGCCACCUUCGGGCAAUGAUCUGCAGCGUACAAUCCAGGAUUUUCAUGCCAUUCA